AAAUAACAAGCCUCAUAUCUCCUGUAUUUCCUUCAGACUGGGAUCAUGGGCAGACACUCGGCCAUCAUUGUUUUACUAAUGUUGGUCUUAAUAUUUCAAUCACACUGUCGUCUACUUGACACUCAUAAUAGAGAUGAAAGGAAAAUGGGCGUAAGAGCGGAGUACAACACGGAGAUUGAAAAGAGAAACACCGAAGAAGUAGAAGAUUAUGGUGGUGGUCAUAGUUCGCCGGCGCCAGGUCGUGGAAAUUAGAGAAUUUACAUUCGUAUAGGUACUGAAUGAUUACCACUGGCUGAAUGAAUAGACAUAUUCGCAUCACCUUGUAUCAUGGCAAUUGCCAAGCCUACAAAUUUUUAAAUCAUGUAAUUUUAAUUGGUUAUAUUGCUUUUUGUUGGUUUUUUAAUAGACAUCUAAUGAAUAUUUAGUAGAGAAAGAAUAACCCUGGAAGCUUUUUGUUGAGAGCUGAUGCAUGAGCCUCACCGCUAUGCAUUUCAUUUUGACUACCAUGCGUAGUUUGACUGCAAGCUUAGAUUUAAUCUGGAAUUAUUUAUUUUUAGAAAUUUCAGUUAAAAGUGUUGCUAGAAUAAUGCAUAUUGGUGCAUGUUCUAUUUUUAGUUGCAUGAAUAUAAUUAAUUGUAAGGGGCUAUGAGCUCUAUAAAGG